rnacentral:snRNA from 1 species
CAAAAUAAGAAUACCAACAUC